AACGAACGCUGGCGGCAGGCCUAACACAUGCAAGUAGAACGGGACCUUCGGGUCUAGUGGCGGACGGGUGAGUAACGCGUGGGAACGUGCCCUUUGGUUCGGAAUAGCCUAGGGAAACUGGGCGUAAUACCGGAUAAGCCCUACGGGGGAAAGAUUUAUCGCCAAAGGAACGGCCCGCGUUGGAUUAGGUAGUUGGUGGGGUAAUGGCCUACCAAGCCGACGAUCCAUAGCUGGUUUGAGAGGAUGAUCAGCCACACUGGGACUGAGACACGGCCCAGACUCCUACGGGAGGCAGCAGUGGGGAAUCUUAGACAAUGGGGGAAACCCUGAUCUAGCCAUGCCGCGUGAUCGAUGAAGGCCUUAGGGUUGUAAAGAUCUUUCAGUGGGGAAGAUAAUGACUGUACCCACAGAAGAAGCCCCGGCUAACUCCGUGCCAGCCGCCGCCGUAA
rnacentral:rRNA from 1 species